CUGAUCAGAGACUUCUGAGGGGCCGAGCCGGUGGUGUCAAAUAAUUCCCGAGAUAUGGAGCCGGAAGCUGCGCGUGCGCAGCCAUCCCAGAGGGCCGCGCGAGGCAUGUUCACUCCUCCCUUUCCGGCUCCAGUGGAGAGCUAUAAGUGAAGUGACGGAUGCCGGUACCUCGGUGCAGCCGGGGAGCCACUCCACCUGUGUCCCAAUGACUCAUACGACAAUCUAGAUUCAAGCCUGCUACCAGUGCGGAGGAGUAAGGGGCUUCUCUGAAAGAUCCUGGCUGCCACUCACGCUGCAGAAAUUUCUCACAUCCCACCGUUUCAGCAUUCUUUCUUUGAAAUUAUGCCUUUUGCCCGGCGUCUUAUUAGACAGGCACAGCGUUAGUUAAGAGCAGCGUUCUAGCCAGGCCUGGUGUGGGUUAAAAAGAUGAAUCAGACAUCAGUUCAGAGCCUCUCAUUAAGUAACUGAGUUUGAUAUGGGAGAUAAGACUUUUAAUAGCAAGAAAUGCUGAUUUGAGCACCUGCCAUGCACCAGACGUUUUGCAGACUACCUACCACUUUAAAUAAUUGGUUUCGACUUCAACGAAGAAAAUAAUACCAGUAGUGAGUAUGCUGUUGCUGGUGCCCAGGUAGAGAGGGCAGAUGUCCCAGAGACCUCUCAUUCCACACGUGGGACCUUGGAGGCUUUCCCCUGCAGCAGCCACUGAAGGUUUGACAGCUGUCCAGGAGAAAAACUUCCAAUUCUCCAAUCCAGUCAAAUAUUAUGUCUUGCCACCAUGGUUUGAAGAAAGAAGAGAGCCAAAUGUCCUUGAACCUGACUCCAGCAUCUUCAAGAAUAUUUGGGAUGGGCACUCUGGCAUUUUCAAAAUGGAGUUUCCCAAGUUUCAGGUUUCGGUGAAGUAACUCCUCCAAAGCCCCUUCUGCUAUUCAUGCUGGGAUUUAUUUUUUUCUUUCUUUCUUUUACCGUAAUGCAACCUCAGGCUGUGCAAAGACAAUAAACAUCUUUACAGUCCUCCAUACCAGUAUAGACCUUCUCGACCCUGUCCAGGAAGAGCUCUCUGGCACAAGUUCACCUACAGCACAGCAGCGCUGUCGCCUCGGCAGAGCGUGCAGGCUACAGAGGGAUGUCGCCACCCAUCAGGCCCCACGAGGACGGUGCCAGCCAGCACCUUCUGGUGGUGCCACCAUCCGGCACCUGAA